UACAGAGACUGCAAGCGUUAUUCGGAUUCACUGGGCGUAAAGGGUGCGCAGGCGGCCGGGUGUGUCAGAUGUGAAAUCCCGAGGCUUAACCUCGGAACUGCGUCUGAAACUACUCGGCUAGAGUAUUGGAGAGGGUAACGGAAUUCACGGUGUAGCAGUGAAAUGCGUAGAUAUCGUGAGGUACACCAGUGGCGAAGGCGACUACCUGGCCUGUUCUUGACGCUGAGGCGCGAAAGCUAGGGGAGCAAACGGG
rnacentral:rRNA from 1 species